CCACACCCCCUCUCUCUCCCUCUCCUUCUCCCCCAAGUAAUUGCAACACCACCCCUCAACCCUAGCCGCCUCCACCUCCUCUCCAUGGUGCAGCCUCCCCGCUUGGUACCCCGUCGUGUGGGUGCGAGUCUUCCAUUGGAGUUUGGAGGGAGGAAGAAGGAAGAAAGGAAGGAGGAAAGGAGGAACCCAAGGUGAUUUUAAGAUCAUUCUUUUUAGUAUUUGUGCUGCAAUCCAAUUGAUUACAUGUUUACCUAUGCGAAUCGGUAUAGGUGCUGUCCAGAUUUUUGUGGGAGGACGAACAGUAGUAGUUCUAGGGAUUUCUGGGGAUUUUUCGUGGGAAAUUAGUGAUAAUCAAUAUGAGAAUCAUGUAGAUCUUUGUCAUACCUUUCCAACGAGUACUUAUGCGCUCGAUUCGGAGUUAUAAUUUAGGAGAUAUCGUUGUUUGAAUCCGGUUAUGUUGCUGUAAAAAAAAACAGAUUUUUCAGGUGGGUGAACAGCAGUAGUAUUAGCAGUUUCUGAGAAUUUUUCGUGGGUAAUUAGUGUUAACCAGUAUGAUAAUCAUGUAGGGCUUUGUCUUAUCUUUCUAAUGAGUACUUAUGCGCUUGAUUUGGAAUUAUAUUUUAAAAGAUAUCGCUGUUUGAAUCCGGUUAUGUCGCUGUCCAAAAGACAAAAAAAAAAACAGAUUACAGGGUUCAUCUUGUGGACUGUUUUGGGCUAAUUAGAUGUUAGAAUUUAAUUAUAAAUUGUAUACAAAACUUGUGGGGAAUUUUAUGUAGAUGCCUCUGGAGUUUUUGUUUGUUACCACUGCUGUCAUAAUUUUAAAGUUAUGAAAUUAUUAAGCAGCGCCGCUGCAGUUUGGUGGGUGUGGGGAGAGAUGUAACCCGCGGCGGGGUUUGAGUUUGUGCGGAGGUGCGGCAUCGUUUAUGAGCCUGAUUAUGUGAAAUUGGUGCACUAAGUUGUGUGUCAAAACAGGUGGUGGACUUCCGGAUCGUACUUAGGGAUUUGCCUGAACCUCCGGUAAAGGCAAGUAAAUACAGUGGUGGUUGCUACCGUUUGGUUUGCAUCCUAUUCCCUGUCUUUGAGUAUGCAUAAGUUUUAAAUAUAUUAAUCAUUGAAUUCUAUGAUGAAUUUUAUUGGUUUGAAAGUAUUAAUUCUCAAUUGUCUAAUAUUGUGGAUGAUCAUAAUUUGGUAAUGAUAUAUGUGGUUGAUUCCCAUCUUGGAUGAAGUUGAAGUGUCUUUUUGAAUCACGUUAUAUGAAGUGUUGUAGGCAUAUCAUGCACAUCGCAUCAUCCAUCUUGCAUUUUGAAGUUAUGUCGUGAUCUUAUGGUCCGACUGUACCGGUACAUUUUUAGCAUCGUACGUUGCCCGAGGAGGGGUACGAUGCGGCUUCAUAUCCUUAGAGGUAUGAAGGCAGAAGUCAUCCUUGCAUUUGCAGACAUUUGCACUCAUGAGGAAUAUAUGAAGUGUGACAUUACUAUGUUACUAUUGUGGUUUAUACCUGCGAGGUGGAGUAACUAGGUGUGUUGUACGUUGUAUACGUGCUGCACCUUCGUAAUAAGAAGGUUGUGGAAUCAAGUGGUGGUAAAACAAUGUUCUUAUGUGGUUGAACAGUUUGAUAUUAUUUUACUUGCUGAGAUGUGUCAUCUCACUCUUGCAUUACUCAAUGCAGGUACUUGAUACAUGUUGGGAAUGAGGGGAGUAG
rnacentral:lncRNA from 1 species